rnacentral:rRNA from 1 species
UUUGAUCCUGGCUCAGGAUGAACGCUGGCGGUCUGCUUAACACAUGCAAGUCGAACGAAUCCCUUCGGGGAUUAGUGGCGGACGGGUGAGUAGCGCGUGAGAAUCUGCCUUCAGGUUCGGGACAACCACUGGAAACGGUGGCUAAUACCGAAUGUGCCGCAACGUGAAAGAUUUAUCGCCUGAAGAUGAGCUCGCGUCCGAUUAGCUAGUUGGUGAGGUAAAAGCUCACCAAGGCGACGAUCGGUAGCUGGUCUGAGAGGAUGACCAGCCACACUGGGACUGAGACACGGCCCAGACUCCUACGGGAGGCAGCAGUGAGGAAUUUUCCGCAAUGGGCGCAAGCCUGACGGAGCAAGACCGCGUGAGGGAGGAAGGCCCAAGCGGUUGUAAACCUCUUUUCUCAGGGAAGAAGAAAGUGACGGUACCUGAGGAAUCAGCCUCGGCUAACUCCGUGCCAGCAGCCGCGGUAAUACGGAGGAUGCAAGCGUUAUCCGGAAUUAUUGGGCGUAAAGCGUCCGCAGGUGGUUGUGCAAGUCUGCCGUUAAAACCAGUGGCUUAACCACUGACAGGCGGUGGAAACUGCACAGCUAGAGUGUGGUAGGGGCAGAGGGAAUUCCCAGUGUAGCGGUGAAAUGCGUAGAGAUUGGGAAGAACACCGGUGGCGAAAGCGCUCUGCUGGACCACAACUGACACUCACAGGACGAAAGCUAGGGGAGCGAAAGGGAUUAGAUACCCCUGUAGUCCUAGCCGUAAACGAUGGAUACUAGGUGUUGUGAGUAUCGACCCUCACAGUGCCGUAGCCAACGCGUUAAGUAUCCCGCCUGGGGAGUACGCACGCAAGAGUGAAACUCAAAUGAAUU